rnacentral:rRNA from 1 species
AACGAACGCUGGCGGCAUGCCUAACACAUGCAAGUCGAACGAGACCUUCGGGUCUAGUGGCGCACGGGUGCGUAACGCGUGGGAACCUGCCCUUAGGUUCGGAAUAACUCCCCGACAGGGGUGCUAAUACCGGAUAAUGUCUUCGGACCAAAGAUUUAUCGCCUUUGGAUGGGCCCGCGUUGGAUUAGCUAGUUGGUAGGGUAAAAGCCUACCAAGGCGACGAUUCAUAGCUGGUCUGAGAGGAUGGUCAGCCACACUGGGACUGAGACACGGCCCAGACUCCUACGGGAGGCAGCAGUGGGGAAUAUUGGACAAUGGGCGAAAGCCUGAUCCAGCAAUGCCGCGUGAGUGAUGAAGGCCUUAGGGUUGUAAAGCUCUUUUACCCGGGAUGAUAAUGACAGUACCGGGAGAAUAAGCUCCGGCUAACUCCGUG